CUUUGGAAUUAUUUUAAAAAUAAAACAUUUCCGGAAUAUUUCCAAAACCAUUAAAGAUACUUUAUUAUUAGUCUGGCAGUCUAUGUACAGGACUUACAUAUAAAGUUUGAGUUUUAUUCAUGUCCAUUGUUUUUUGAUGCAGCUUUAAUAAAAUGGACCCAACAAUUUCAAGACUGAAAUUUCAACUUGAAAGAGAAAGGAUGAAGACUAGAAACCUCCGCAGAGCUUUGGCUCAAUGCCAAAGAAGGAAUCAACCACUGAAGGUAUGGAUUCACUAGUCAUGAUGUAAAAGGUGAACAACCAAGUCAGAAAAAGGGCUGAGGAAAAGCGAAAAAGGUAGGAGUGAAGUGUGUAUUCAGUGAAGGGUCCAUAAUUAGAACAAUCCCAUAUUUCUUAUGUGAUUUAAAUGUGUUUCCACACUUGCCAAGAACAGUUAAGUGAAGUAUGAUUCAAGUUUGGUGAUUGGAUAGGUAUAUAUAAGAUACAUACAUUAAUUUUUAGUAGGCAAGACAGUUUAAUAUACAACAACAUAUCUUUAAAGUGAUUUUAAGCUUACCUUGCAACAACAAAAAUUAAUUCAGGUGACUGUGAUUGACACAAUUAAUUAUAAUUAUACCCCUGUUUUAAAAUAAUUGGGUAAUAUUGCAAUCACAAUAAACAUCUCUCAGUCCACUUAUGCUUCCUUGUGAGGUCUUCAACACAGAUCUGAAUUCAAUCAAACAUGAUAUGCAGAAUCCUUGUAGAGUGCACAUGCAUGUAUUUGUUUCCUUCCAAUGAUUUAUUAGAGAGUUAUUGAAUUUUGAUUAUGAAAAUAUAAGUAUAUAAUGGAUGUUUCAUUUUGCAUGAGAUUUCACAACAAAUAAUCAGAAUUUUAUUUAACACUUUGUACUCAGCUUCUGCAAUGGAUGGAUAUGCAUACAUGUUAAGGUUGCUCCAAUGAUUCUUGGGCAUUUCAUAUAUUUUGACUAAUAAAAGGAUUUUUAACCAGGUUUUUAACCAGGUUUUCCGAAAGAAAAAACUGGUUAUUAGAUUGGCGAAUGCGGGCGGACUGGCUGGCUGGCUGGCUGGCGGGCGGGCGGAACAAGCUUGUCCGGGCCAUAACUAUGUCGUUCAUAGUCAGAUUUUAAAAUCAUUUGGCACAUUUGUUCACCAUCAUUGGACGGUGUGUCGCGCGAAAGAAUCACGUCAAUAUCUCCAAUGUCAAGGUCGCCACAACUAAAAAUAGUUGUUUUUUUUAAACAAACUUACAAAGGGGGUUAAUUUUGUUUGUUCAUUUCAAAAGUUCAGUUUGAGUUUUCUCCCUUUAUCACAUUUUUUUUUCACAAUGAAAACCUGGUUUUGUGACAAUUUUGUCCCUUGUUAUUGAAUAAUAUGUUUUUGUGUCAGCUCACUUGAGCUUAUAAUGGGAAUUUGAUGAAACCUUAUAUUUAGCAUCCUUACAUUGACAAAGUGCUUUCAUUGGAGAUCAAUCAUUUAUUGCACUGAUGCUCUUGUUUAACUUUUGACAUUUCAUAACAUCAUGAUUUUCAAUACACACUUUAAUAUAAUAUUAUUGUUUCAUGUAUAAACUUCCUCACCAUAAUACAAUUUAAACAAAAAUUAUUUUCCGCUGAAAAUCCAUUUAUCAUGGGUUUAAUGUUUAAGCCUUCAGUUAAAAAAAGUGGAGGUAUAUUGCUUUGCUUCUGUCCAUCUGAUGGUUGAAUGGCCGGUUGGUUGGUCGCUUUUGUUUCUGCACUUGAUCUUGAGAACACUUACCUUGUGUGUGAUUUUGAAAAAUUAUAAAUUUGUCAGCUCUUUAUCUACCAGCAUAUAUGUGGUUUAUUUUAUACUAGUUAAUUGCUGGAUAUGUCAGCUGGAACUGUAUACAAUUAUUAUUAGAUUAACUAAGGUACUGCUGGGGGUGGAUGCAUUCCGGCUUGUAAUGUUUAUAUAUUGUGAACAUAACAAUUUGUUCAAUCCCAUGUUAUUUUAUUAUCCAUGAAAAUAUUUUCAU